rnacentral:rRNA from 1 species
GACGAACGCUGGCGGCGGGCUUAACACAUGCAAGUCGAACGGAAAGGCACUGCUUUUGUGGGGUGCUCGAGUGGCGAACGGGUGAGUAACAGGUGAGUAACCUGCCCUUGACUUUGGGAUAACUUCAGGAAACGAGGGCUAAGACAGGAUAGGAGCUCCUGCUGGAGGGUGGGGGGGGGAAAGUUGCGGCGGGUGGGGAUGGACUCGCGGCUGAUCAGCUUGUUGGUGGGGUAGUGGCUUACCAAGGCUUUGACGGGUAGCCCGCCGGAGAGGGUGACCGGCCACAUUGGGACUGCGAUACGGCCCAGACUCCUACGGGAGGCAGCAGUGGGGAAUAUUGCCCAGUGGGCGGAAGCCUGAUGCAGCAACGCCGCGUUCGUGAUGACGGCCUUCGGGUUGUAAACCGCUUUCGCCUGUGACGCAGCGUGAGUGACGGUAAUGGGUAAAGAAGCACCGGCUAACUACGUG